rnacentral:rRNA from 1 species
AAUAUUGCACAAUGGGGGAAACCCUGAUGCAGCCAUGCCGCGUGUGUGAAGAAGGCCUUCGGGUUGUAAAGCACUUUCAGUAGGGAGGAAGGUAGUGUAGUUAACACCUGCACUAUUUGACGUUACCUACAGAAGAAGCACCGGCUAACUCCGUGCCAGCAGCCGCGGUAAUACGGAGGGUGCGAGCGUUAAUCGGAAUUACUGGGCGUAAAGCGCAUGCAGGCGGCCUGUUAAGUCAGAUGUGAAAGCCCGGGGCUUAACCUCGGAAUUGCAUUUGAAACUGGCAGGCUAGAGUCUUGUAGAGGGGGUAGAAUUUCAGGUGUAGCGGUGAAAUGCGUAGAGAUCUGAAGGAAUACCAGUGGCGAAGGCGGCCCCCUGGACAAAGACUGACGCUCAGAUGCGAAAGCGUGGGGAGCAAACAGGAUUAGAUACCCUGGUAG